CAGAAAAUAGUUUAGUUUAGAAUUCUGGCUUUGGGAGCCAGUGGUGAGAGUUAGAAUCUCUUUUUUCUGG
rnacentral:tRNA from 1 species